rnacentral:misc_RNA from 1 species
CUACAUUCGCUCAAACGUAAAACCACAAGAUUUGGAAAGAUAGACAAGUCUGUAACUCUGGUCAGCUCGAAAGGACCGCCAAGGUUUAAAAUUUUCAAAUUUCCAAGAGGCUGUAUUGAAAAUAUCAACAAAAUAAGUAGAUGCUAAUUAACUUCGCAAAGUGUAGCUAAAUUUUAUAAUUAAAUAGCAAAAUAACUCUUGCCUUAUCUCCAUUCUGAAGUUGUGUGAGGUUGCUUCCAUAGUCUCGAAAAAUAGGUUGUACUCCACACUUAAUUAUCGUCUCAAAAACAGAAUCCUCAUGAUAUGUUGUCCCGUAUGACCCCAUGUGAAUGUAGAACUGAAAUGAGGCCUUAACGAUACUGUCUUCCAUGUCGAACCUAUGAUUCCAAAGGAACACAUGCUCUGAAUAUAAUAAAUCAUCAGCUACCCUUGGACUCACCCAAUGGAAACGGAAAUCUUUACUCCGACGUCCAGAUUUAUCUAUCAAUUGGGCUUCGCAACUAAUUUCAUUCAUUUCAUCACCCGAACAAUUUUUGGGAUCACAAACAGCACAAAAAGAAAAACCAAUCAAGUUAGGAAGUUGUUCUGUGAAUGAAAGAGAAGAUCCACUCUGGUUCUUAUAUCUCAUCCUUUGAGGCACUUCAUCCCCGAAUAUGCAUAAUUUAACAACCUUUUUUUUCAACAGAUGCAUUUCAAAUACAUACUCCUUUAAUUUCUCACAUACAUCCUUAUCCAAAUUGAUGGAAUUUUGAAACUCAAGAUAUGUGUCUUGUUCGUGUUCAUCUUCGUCUUCGUCUUUGUCUUCUAAAAAUUUAAGUCUCUUGCAAUCAUUUAAGAAAAGAUAACUGAACUUAAACAGUUGUCUAAUGCUAGCAGGUAUGCUCUCAAAAUUAUUUUCGCCUAAAUCCAAGUAUCUCAGUGAGACUAAAAACAAAAGACUCUGGGGAAUUUCUAAUAUGCCAGUACCACCUAAAACAAUUCUCUUUACACGGGACAAACCUGUCAAAGGAGGCAAUGCCAAACCUUCACAUUCACCACACGCCAAGUCUCUCAAAUUUUUCAGUUGAUUGAUGGAGGAUGGUAAUGUUUUUAUUCCACUUGCAAUAAUACAAAGGAACUCCAGUAAUUCUAAAUCCCCUAUGUUCUCUGGCAAUUCAGUGACAUUCAAACAAUCUGACAUACUAAGGAGUGUAAGAGAUUUCAGAUUGCAGAUGCUUUGGGGAAUACUAAGUAGUUUUGAGCAUCCCAUUAGAUUAAGUUCUUUCAGACAUUUUAACUCGCCAAUGCUG